CACCGGGUGCUCUUCGGGUCGACCUGUGGUGCUGAGUGAGUUGGUUGGGUGUCGGUGAGGAGAAGAAAGGGGAGUGGGGGGCAGGUGCGGCGUUGCGUUGGCUCUCUCUCUUAGUCUAGAACCACCUGAGCUUAGGUUAGGUUAGGUUAGGUUCCGCCUCCAGCUCUAGUUUGGGUGGCCUCUACUUCAAGAAGAGCCGCAAGCUGGGCACCGGCCACAAGAAGGCGGCCCUCACCCCGGCGUGGACCGGGAAGGAGCGGCCGAAGCGGCAGUGCCCCCGGGAGUAGUGGUUCUACUGGCGGCCGAAGUGGUUCCUCCUGGAGUUCUUGAGGUUCAAGCAGGUCCGCGUGUUCUUCUUCAUCAGCGGCGGGCGGGCCGGGCAGGCGGCGGUCCAGUGUCCCCGUCGUCGACUCAUUGGCCGUACACAGGAACUACGCCGCUCGGUCAGGAGUGGGAGUGAUAACACUAACUCGAAAAUACAAAAAAAAAGUUUAGGUUGACGUACGUAAAAACGACGAGACCAAACAUUACAUUAUUCGCUGUAAACUUAGCAACUUAGGUUCUUUUUUUUACCGAAGCCUAUUUCAUCGACGGUACCCAGUGAGACAGAUACAUGUUACUUCUGCGAGAGACAAAACAAAGCACCUAGACAAUGGCACACACGAAGCGAAAAAACCAUCAGCUAUGACGACUAAUGACGGUAACCAACAAUUCUCGUAAAUGAACGAAUGUGACCAAAUGACCUACAGACCUUAUCCAACUAGUUGAACUACUAGAGGUUAGUUCAAAUUAAGAAGAAUUUAAAUGCUAGAAGUUCAUUCAAAUUAAGAUCAGUACGAAGGGUCCGCUGGUACGUACCUUUACUUAAACUUGCGACGUUUAUUACAUCGGUAGACAAAGGUUUUAUGUACUACACAUGCCAUACAUGGAUCAGAUAGGGUCU
rnacentral:rRNA from 1 species